AAAAUCUUCUCCUUCUCCUUCUCGAGCAGCAACAGUAAUUUAGUGAACCACGGCAUCAUCUUCCUAUCCGUGAGCAAGUCCUCGCAACAUCUUCAUCUUCUUUUUGUUGAUUUCAGUUCUAGACCAACAAAAAAAAAAUAGUAACUGAUUCUUGCAAUGAUUUUAGAAAUUUAAACCUAGGGUUUGAUAUAUUUGGGAGUAAAUUAUGGAGUUAUUCAGUAUGGUGUUUAAUAUAAAUAAUUGAAGUAGUUUAAGGGUUGUUGGGUUAUCUUGCUAACAAAUACUACUUUGUCAAUUUGAUAUCUCGAGGUUUUUGUUUCAAAUUACUGAAUUACGGGUUGAAUUUGUUUGCUUAUGCAAUUUUGUUGAUGAGUUUUUGCAAAUUAUGGGUAAUUGAAUUCUGCUUUUGUAGAUUGGUUAACAACCUGGGGACAAUGUCAUUGAUUUGGGGUUGUAGGCACGUUGUCAAACAUGAAGGAAAGACUUGAAGGUUCGGAAGGGCCAUCAAAGACAGUUCCACUCAAAGUUCUUCAAAGAGAAAGAUUUUCCAACAAACUUCUGACGAAUGGAAAAUGGCCUUGAGAUUUCGUGAAGUCCUGUUAAACGGAACUGCUACUGACAAUAUCAUGGGGAGCAUAAAUACUUACCUUUGCCGCGUUUCGUGGUUAACACAUACACAAGUUGAUACUUAAGUGUUCUUGUUCUUGACUGUAUGUCAUGAACUGACAUAAAAAUACUUUUUUGGGACUUGAAAAGAACGCUGCUGCAAGGAGAAUUGUUGCAGGAGAGCAGGGAUGCAAUAACGGCCAAACACGCAUUCCUCCUGUUUACGCAUUCCAUGUUUUUUGCUUGCUGUGCACCCCCCAAGAAAUACUCAACUGUAUCCUGACUUUUUUGAUUGAUUAAUUUCAUCUUUCCAUGCUUAGAUAGAUACUUUUAAGUACCACUGAGAAUCGAACCACUUUUACCACUAUCUACAAAUCACAUCAAUUUUUGGCGCCGCCAACGCGGACUUGUUUUUAGGGUUUUAGAUUUUUUUUUUAAUUUUUUUUAAUUUUUGUCAUUU